GGGAAGUAAAAGUCGUAACAAGGUUUCCGUAGGUGAACCUGCGGAAGGAUCAUUAUCGAGUUUUGAACGGGUUGUAGCUGGCCUCUCACGAGGCAUGUGCACGCCUGGCUCAUCCACUCUUAACCUCUGUGCACUUUAUGUAAGAGAAAAAAAUGGUGGAAGCUUCCAGGAUCUCGCGAGAGGUCUUCGGUUGAACAAGCCGUUUUUCUUUCUUAUGUUUUACUACAAACACUUCAGUUAUAGAAUGUCAACUGUGUAUAACACAUUUAUAUACAACUUUCAGCAACGGAUCUCUUGGCUCUCGCAUCGAUGAAGAACGCAGCGAAAUGCGAUAAGUAAUGUGAAUUGCAGAAUUCAGUGAAUCAUCGAAUCUUUGAACGCACCUUGCACUCCUUGGUAUUCCGAGGAGUAUGCCUGUUUGAGUCUCAUGGUAUUCUCAACCCCUAAAUUUUUGUAAUGAAGGUUUAGCGGGCUUGGACUUGGAGGUUGUGUCGGCCCUUGUCGGUCGACUCCUCUGAAAUGCAUUAGCGUGAAUCUUACGGAUCGCCUUCAGUGUGAUAAUUAUCUGCGCUGUGGUGUUGAAGUAUUUAUGGUGUUCAUGCUUCGAACCGUCUCCUUGCCGAGACAAUCAUUUGACAAUCUGAGCUCAAAUCAGGUAGGACUACCCGCUGAACUUAAGCAUAUCAAUAAGCGGAGGA
rnacentral:rRNA from 1 species